UUCCAUGGCGGGCGGUGCGUGGGGGCGCUUGCGCCCGCCGGUAUCAGCAUCUCCCGGUCUUUGCCGCCACGUACCGUCCGCCACCUCU
rnacentral:antisense_RNA from 1 species